CAGGAAUCAACUUACAGUUGCAGAGGAAAUCCUAAACAUCCUCUCCAAAUGUGAGCUUCGUUUGAAGGUUUCUCUGGUUCCGGUGGGCCGCUGGUCAUAGCGUGUUGGGGAGCUGGAUCCACUCCCCCGUCGACACGUUGUACGACUGAACCGACAGGACGUCUUCCGUCUGGCUGAGCCGCCGCUGCCGCCGCCCCGC